GUGUGCUAAAGUCAACAGUCGCCGGGUUUGAGCUCAAAUAAAUGCGGGGAUGCCUGGGCUGGGAGCAGUCGGCCGCUGCCCUCCGCGCGCCGGACGCCGCACGGCCCGCCCGCAGCCCGAGCCCAGCAGGUCAGAAAGCCAAGGCUCUGCAGAGUUGAUAUCCUUGUCAGAGACCUUGUGAUUUAAGUGGAAUGGCCUCCUUUCCAGCGUAGGUCACAUUGACCUAAAAGACUGCCCAGGUGCACUGGACCCAGCUGUUCUUUAGUCCAGCCAGUGAGGAGUAAAGCACAAUGGCAGCAGUGCAGAAUACACGUUGAAGAUGAUAAUGACACUAAAGUCAAGGGACCUGGAUCUCUGAGUCAUCACUUGGAGGAGCACCAAGCAAUCCACAUUGGUGUUUCACAUCUUUCAGUAUGAUAAAUCUGUGAUGAAAACUAGACACCAGAAUUAAUUCUGCUUCCUUAUAAUCUAUGCACCUACUCCCACUGUAAGUAGUACUGAGCAGUAAAAUGAUCAUAAAAGAGAAGAAUAAAGUCAUGGGACUGCCCAGGUCUUGACCAACAUGAUCACUGACUCUAUCCAAGAAGAUCGUGAUCACAUCAAACAGUGGAAAAGGGAAAAUGUUGAGAUAACUUUGCACAUCUCUGUUUGGACCCACAACCUUUGAAGUAUUUUAUAGUUAUUUAAGAUUUGGAGACGGUGAUUGACUGUCGGUAAUUGCAAUGGUAGAAAGGAAAGCAUGCAUCAGGGGGCCUACUGGACUUGAUUCAGAUACUGGAAAACUUUUACUACUUUCGGAACCACUUGGGUAUGUGAACCUGCUCUUUCAAUUGCAAAAUGAAAUCUAAAUACAGAGCAACUGUAUCUGAAGUGAAUUUAACAUUUGUAUAGAGAUGCAUUCUAAGUGUAAAGUUCACCCCAGAUUUCUAGUACUUAAUACAGAAGAAGAAUGCAAAAUAUUUUAUUACUUUUAUAUUGCUUAUAUGUUGAAAUUAUGCUAUUUUGGAUGUAUUGGUUUCAAUAUAAUAUAUAAUUAAAAUUAA